rnacentral:sRNA from 1 species
AUCUAGCCCCGAUGGGAGCGGUAUCCUUUUUCCAGCUCCUUUAGCUGGGAAAAGAUAUAGUGUACAGCGGGACUAAAG